GGAGAGCUCAGGGGUAGAGCGUGUGCUUAGCACGCACAAGGUCCUGGGUUCAAGCCCCGGUGCCGCCA
rnacentral:tRNA from 1 species